CUUCUAAUAUACUUAACUUUGAAAGUUUAGUUUGGAACUUCCUAGAGGC
rnacentral:tRNA from 1 species